GGUUAAGCGACUAAGCGUACACGGUGGAUGCCCUGGCAGUCAGAGGCGAUGAAGGACGUGCUAAUCUGCGAUAAGCGUCGGUAAGGUGAUAUGAACCGUUAUAACCGGCGAUUUCCGAAUGGGGAAACCCAGUGUGUUUCGACGCACUAUCAUUAACUGAAUCCAUAGGUUAAUGAGGCGAACCGGGGGAACUGAAACAUCUAAGUACCCCGAGGAAAAGAAAUCAACCGAGAUUCCCCCAGUAGCGGCGAGCGAACGGGGAGCAGCCCAGAGCCUGAAUCAGU
rnacentral:rRNA from 1 species